GCCGGAGUGGCGGAAUUGGUAGACGCGCACGACUCAAAAUCGUGUCUCGCAAGGGGGGAGAGUUCGAUUCUCUCCUCCGGCA
rnacentral:tRNA from 1 species